GGACGCAACACGAAGAGUUGUUCCAAACAAAAGUAAUAACGUUAUUUUUUUUCACAAAGGGCCCUGUCACAAGACUUUUAAUGAAGGGUACAUUCAAACUGUGAUGUCAUGCUCCCUUCAGAGUGCCCAAAUCAAGAGCUCUGUCUUUCGUAGAAUCAUAUCUUCUCAAAUACUCUGAAGUGCCCAUUCACUCAAGUGUCAUCUGCAGCGAAAGCCAUUUACACAUCUGUCAAACCGAUUGUUCCACUCCUGUGAUUGUCCUACUCCAACGUUUAUAAUUAAAAGAUUAAAAGGAAUCUACUCCUGCAUCUCCCAUGGCUCCGCCUUCUACGGCUCUGCCCUUCGAGCCUCCCAUGGCUCCGCCUUCCACGGCUCUGUCCGGCGAGCCUUCCACGGUUCUGCCUUCCCUGGAUCCAUCUCCCAUGACUCUGCCUUCCACGGCUCUGUCCCUCGAGCCUCCCAUGGCUCCACCUUCCAUAACUCUGUCCCUCGAGCCUCCUACAGCUCCGCCCUCCACGGCUCAGUCCCUUGAGCCUCUCACGGCUCCGCCUUCCACAGCUCUGCCCCUCAAGCCCUCCAAGGCUCUGCAUUCCACAGCUCCACCCCCAGAGUCUUCCACGGCUCCGCCUUUCAUGGCUCCGCCCCUAGAGUCUUCCACAGCUCCGCCUUUUACGGCUCCCCCCAGAAUCUUCCACGGCUCCGCCUUCCACGGCUCCGCCCUCAGAGUCUAACACGGCUCCUCCAGCGGUUCUGCCUCCUGACCCAGUCCUUGCCCUGUGGCCGCUUCCCAUGCCUCCUGACCCAAUCCUUGCCCUGUGGCCGCCUCCCAGGCCUCCUGACCCAGUUCCUGCCCUGUGGCCGCCUCCCAGGCCUCUGGAUCCAUUCCCAACCCUGAAGCCGCCCCCCAGGCAUCCGGAUCCUUUCCCAGCCCUGAAGCCGCCCCCUAGGCCUCCUGAUCAUCAUCCUUGGAUCCUUCAUCUUCUGCGUCAUCAUACCCUCCUCAAAUGGGGGGGGGUUCAUGACUAAAUUCAUUACUUUUAUAAUGCAUGGAUUUCAGGCUGGGAACUAUCAAUUUAGUUAGUUAGUUAGUGUCACAGUCUGUCUCCCUCAUUCUCUUCAAGGACUCUUAUUUUGAAGUUUUUCCCCGGACUCCAUUUCCCAGGAUUCACUGCCCUAAUCACUCCUAUUAGUUCAUCAUCAUCUGCACCUGCCUUCUAUUCCCUCCUUUGUUUCUCAGUGUAUAAAUACCCUCUAGUUUUGUUAAGUCUUGGUCAGUCCUUCAAGUGUUUCAUUAUGAGGUGUUAUGUUGUGCUUAGUUUGAUUGUUAAAGAUUUAGUGUUUGUUCCAGCAUUUGUUCCACUCCAGCGUUUACUAUUGUUGAGCCUUUCUUCUGUUUCCACUCCAGCGAUUGUCCUACUCCAACAUUUAUAAUUAAAAGAUUAAAAGGAAUCUACUCCUGCAUCUCCUCUCUUCCUCUCCAAGACACCCACAUUACAGUUUGUAUGUUUUAAUCAAUAUAAAGAUUUCUUUAAUGUUGUUUUCUUUAUUAUGUCAUUAGUAUAUCACGUUAUCAAGUUUAAUUGUUUUGAUUUUGAAUUACUUAAUACUCAUUUCAGUUA